CCUUCUCAUCUGAUUAUUUUCUCCAUACCAGCAUAAAUCAACAAUGGCAAAGCUCGCAGUUUACUUAGCCACCCUGGCUCUCAUUUUGUUCCUUGCCAAUGCUUCAAUCACAUCUGUGACGGUCGAAAGCGAGGAAAACCGGGAUAGCUGUGAACAGCAGAUAAGGAAGCAAGCCCACCUGAAGCACUGCCAGAAGUACAUGGAGGAAGAGUGGGGUGGCGAAGGCAGCGACAAUAUAGCCGGCGGGUACAUUGACUCAUGUUGCCAGCAGCUAGAGAAGAUGGAUACGCAAUGCAGAUGUCAAGGUCUAAGACAUGCAACGAUGCAACAGAUGCAACAGAUGCAAGAACAAAUGGGGAGCAAACAGAUGCGAGAGAUCAUGCAAAAGGUUACCAAGAAUAUAAUGUCCGAAUGUGAGAUGGAGCCUGGGAGGUGUGACACGCCAUCUCGCAGUUUGAUUUAAACAAAAUAUGUUCUCAAGAAUAAAUGUAAUGUCUCCCUUAGUUACUCUGGUGUUUUAGCUGUACUCGCUCUCUUCAUCACAAUAAAAAGCACAUAAUCGUGUGCAGU
rnacentral:misc_RNA from 1 species